rnacentral:rRNA from 1 species
AUGGAGGGGCUGCCGAAAUCCACCUCGAGGCAGAGGGGUAGGCAGAAGGAUGGUGGGCGUUCCACUCGACGGCGAGCCAUGGGUGAUGGCGAUCUCAACGCAAAGUUUUCCGAUCUGCCCGUCUUCAAGGGCGUGGAGCGACGGAGGUUGUCUCCCUCCUUCCACACGGUCGCAGCAUCGGGAGAGGAUUCAGCCCCCGUGUGGUUCUGCACCAAGCUGGAAGCAUUUGGUGGCAUGUUACUGAAAAAUGUGCCUGAAAGAUUUGAUCGGUCUACUAAGUUGGUAAACGCUCUGAACAUCCAAGUGUUGGUGGAGACCGUUUGCGUGUUACUGCUCCAAUUUUCUCAGCAGAUGCUUCCUGGGCUACUUACCUCUUGA